rnacentral:rRNA from 1 species
AAUGAACGCUGGCGGCAGGCCUAACACAUGCAAGUCGAACGGAUCCUUCGGGAUUAGUGGCGGACGGGUGAGUAACGCGUGGGAACAUACCCUUUGGUACGGAAUAGCCUCGGGAAACUGGGAGUAAUACCGUAUGUGGUCGAGAGACGAAAGAUUUAUCGCCAAAGGAUUGGCCCGCGUUGGAUUAGGUAGUUGGUGGGGUAAUGGCCUACCAAGCCGACGAUCCAUAACUGGUUUGGGAGGAUGAUCAGCCACACUGGGACUGAGACACGGCCCAGACUCCUACGGGAGGCAGCAGUGGGUAAUCUUAGACAAUGGGGGAAACCCUGACCUAGCCAUGCCGCGUGAUCGAUGAAGGCCUUAGGGCUGUAAAGAUCUUUCAGGUGGGAAGAUAAUGACUGUACCACCAGAAGAAGCCCCGGCUAACUCCGUGCCAGCCGCCGCCGUAACAC